rnacentral:rRNA from 1 species
AGAGUUUGAUCAUGGCUCAGGACGAACGCUGGCGGCGUGCUUAACACAUGCAAGUCGAACGAUGAAGCCCUUCGGGGUGGAUUAGUGGCGAACGGGUGAGUAACACGUGGGCAAUCUGCCCUUCACUCUGGGACAAGCCCUGGAAACGGGGUCUAAUACCGGAUAACACUCUGUCCCGCAUGGGACGGGGUUAAAAGCUCCGGCGGUGAAGGAUGAGCCCGCGGCCUAUCAGCUUGUUGGUGGGGUAAUGGCCUACCAAGGCGACGACGGGUAGCCGGCCUGAGAGGGCGACCGGCCACACUGGGACUGAGACACGGCCCAGACUCCUACGGGAGGCAGCAGUGGGGAAUAUUGCACAAUGGGCGAAAGCCUGAUGCAGCGACGCCGCGUGAGGGAUGACGGCCUUCGGGUUGUAAACCUCUUUCAGCAGGGAAGAAGCGAAAGUGACAGUACCUGCAGAAGAAGCGCCGGCUAACUACGUGCCAGCAGCCGGUAAUACGUAGGGCGCAAGCGUUGUCCGGAAUUAUUGGGCGUAAAGAGCUCGUAGGCGGCUUGUCACGUCGGAUGUGAAAGCCCGGGGCUUAACCCCGGGUCUGCAUUCGAUACGGGCUAGCUAGAGUGUGGUAGGGGAGAUCGGAAUUCCUGGUGUAGCGGUGAAAUGCGCAGAUAUCAGGAGGAACACCGGUGGCGAAGGCGGAUCUCUGGGCCAUUACUGACGCUGAGGAGCGAAAGCGUGGGGAGCGAACAGGAUUAGAUACCCUGGUAGUCCACGCCGUAAACGUUGGGAACUAGGUGUUGGCGACAUUCCACGUCGUCGGUGCCGCAGCUAACGCAUUAAGUUCCCCGCCUGGGGAGUACGGCCGCAAGGCUAAAACUCAAAGGGAAUUGACGGGGGCCCGCACAAGCAGCGGAGCAUGUGGCUUAAUUCGACGCAACGCGAAGAACCUUACCAAGGCUUGACAUAUACCGGAAAGCAUCAGAGAUGGUGCCCCCCUUGUGGUCGGUAUACAGGUGGUGCAUGGCUGUCGUCAGCUCGUGUCGUGAGAUGUUGGGUUAAGUCCCGCAACGAGCGCAACCCUUGUUCUGUGUUGCCAGCAUGCCCUUCGGGGUGAUGGGGACUCACAGGAGACUGCCGGGGUCAACUCGGAGGAAGGUGGGGACGACGUCAAGUCAUCAUGCCCCUUAUGUCUUGGGCUGCACACGUGCUACAAUGGCCGGUACAAUGAGCUGCGAUGCCGCGAGGCGGAGCGAAUCUCAAAAAGCCGGUCUCAGUUCGGAUUGGGGUCUGCAACUCGACCCCAUGAAGUCGGAGUUGCUAGUAAUCGCAGAUCAGCAUUGCUGCGGUGAAUACGUUCCCGGGCCUUGUACACAACCG